ACAUAAGGGAGACCUAGCAUCCAGCAAAAGGCGGACAUUGACGGAUUGGAAUUACACUUUAAAGAUCUUUAAGAGCAGUAGUAGUCAAAAAAAGCCAAAAAGAGGUAUACGAGCUGAGCUGAGGAGUGCUAAUACGCACACACAUACGCUCGUACAGUCAAGGGCGGGCAAGUAGACACAACAUACACACACACACUCUCUUUCUCAUACACACACAUGAAUAACUUUAAUAAUAUCUUAUAGUAAUAGAGAAACUCUAUAAAAAAAACAGAAUAGUAGGAUAUGCAGGACAGUAGAACUGUAAUGAUAUUAAGAAGUUGGAAGUACAGUAAACCGAUUUUCAAGUAGUAUAAAUACAUAUAAAAUAAGAAAUAUAGUGCAAAUAUGAAAAUAAAUUAUAAACUAGAAAUACAGGAAAAUGUAAACCUACUCAUGACUCAAAUGGUGAGGGUUCUUGGCUCGCAAGGAAGGCCUUAAUUUUAAGAGAAAACCAUGAGGAGCCAUUUAUAAGGGUAGCUGAGUCAAGCUGACCCCGCGAGAUAAGAGUGAGACCAAGGUCUCUCGAAAUUGUUUUGUCUCUCUCCACUUCCGAACCUAAUGUAUAAAUACUGGAGCUUGAGCUCCAGGUGUCAGAUCACUUCUGAGAAUUCUCAUCGGUGUGGAUCUCGUGUGGUGGAAUGGAACAAUAAAGCUGGACCCUUGCUUCUUCUCACUCACGGCUGGUGUAUUUUUUCUAUCUCAGAGGUAGAUGUGAGUAUUGGCUUCUAAGUUGAAUUUUAAAUGUUUUUGGGUAAUAGGCUAAAUUUGAGCCAACAGUGCUGUCAUUCACAAUGCUGAUGGCUUUGUGGAUGCAGCAUGAGGUUUAAAUGUCUGUGAUGGGGGGACAGCGAGAUCCCGCUGAUCUUCUCAGCUGUCUUCACUAUCCACUGAAGGGUCUUGAGAUCCGAUGAGGUGCAAUUUCCAAACCAGACAGUAAUGCAGCUGCUCAGGAUGCUUAUAAUAGUUCCUCUGUAGAAUGUGGUGAGGAUGGGAGGUGGGAGAUGGGCUUUGUUCAGCCUUUGCAGAAAGUAGAGACGCUGCUGGGCCUUUUUGGCUAUGGAGCUGGUGUUGAGGGACCAGGUGAGGUUCUCCGUCAGGUGAACACGAAGGAAUUUGAUGCUCUUGACGAUCUCCAUGGAGGAGCUGUUGAUGUUCAAUGGAGAGUGGUCAUGCCAUGCUCUCCUGAAGUCAACAACCAUCUCUUUUGUUUUGUCCACAUUCAGAGACAAAUUGUUGGCUCUGCACCAGUCCAUUAGUUGCUGCACCUCCUCUCUGUAUGCUGACUCGUCGUUCUUGCUGAUGAGACCCACCACAGCCAUGUCAUCGGCAAACUUGAUGAUGUGGUUGGAGCUGUGCAAUGCUGCACAUUCAUGAGUCGGCAGAGUGAAAAGCAGUGGACUGAGCACACAGCCCUGGGGGGCAACAGUGCUCAGUGUGGUGGUGCUGGAGAUGUUGUUCCCGAUCCAGAUUGACUGAGGUCACCCAGUCAGGAUCCAGUUGCAGAGGGAGGUGUUCAGGCCUAGUAGGUUCAGCUUUCCAAUCAGGUGCUGAGGAAUGAUUGUGUUGAAUGCUGAACUGAAGUCUAUGAACAGCAUUUGAACGUAGGUGUCCUUCUUGUCCAGGUGGUUGGGGCCAGAUGUAGGGUGGUGGCGAUGGCAUCAUCUGUUGUGUGGUUGGUGCGAUAUGCAAACUGCAGCAGGUCCAGUGAGGGGGCAGCAGGGUCUUGAUGUGCCUCAUGAUGAGCCUCUCAAAACACUUCAUGAUGGAUGGGAGUGCAAUGGGACGGUAGUCAUUGAUGCAGGACUCUGGAGACUUAUUCGGCACGGGUACGAUGGUGGUAGCCUUGAAGAAUGUUGGAACGAUGGCGCUGCUCAGGGAGAUGUUGAAGAUGUCAGUGAAAACAUCUGCUUGCUGAUCUGCACAUCCUCUGAGCACUCUGCCAGGAAUGUUGUCUGGUCGAGCAGCCUUCCGUGGGUUGACGCUGCGUUGAGUUUUCCUCACAUCAGCCGUGGUUAGACACAGCACCUGGUUGUUGAGAGGAGGCCUUGUCUUCCUCGUUGCCACAUCAUUCUGUGCCUCGAACUGAGCGUAGAAGUUGUUCAGCGCAUCUGGAAGGGAGGAAUCACUGUCACAGUUGCCGAUUGCUUGAAUGCCCUGCCACAUGCGCCGUGUGUUGCCGCUAUCCAUGAAGUGACUGUGGAUUUUCUGGGCGUGUGCGCGCUUUGCCUCUCUGAUGGCCCGGAACAGUUUGGCCCUCUCUCUUCUUAGGGCUGUCUUAUCACCUGUCCUGAGGGCAGAGUCUCGGGUCCUCAGUAGUGCUUGCAUCUCCACAGUCAUCCACGGCUUCUGGUUGGAGCGUGUGGUGAUGGUCUUGGAGACAGUGAUGUCAUCAAUGCACUUACUGAUGUAGCUGGUCAUUGACGCCAUGUAUUCCUCCGAGUUUGUGGAAUUGCUGUCAGAUGCAGCCUACCUGAACAUGUCCCUCAAAACAAAAAGAGCAGAGGAGCAUCUCUGAAGAGCAGAGAUGGCUCCUGCUGGCCAGGUUUUAACAUUAACUGAAUUGAACAUUAAGUCUAACUUCACAAUAUGAUUGUAAAAGAUUUGCUAUUCUGUCUCUAUAUUAAGACAAUGACGCCGUCUCUGAGUUAACUCAAAAGAGUCAA
ensembl:lncRNA